UGGGGAAUCUUGGACAAUGGGCGCAAGCCUGAUCCAGCCAUGCCGCGUGAAUGAUGGAGGCCCUAGGGUUGUAAAAUUCUUUCAGCGGGGAAGAUAAUGACGGUACCCGCAGAAGAAGCCCCGGCUAACUCCGUGCCAGCAGCCGCGGUAAUACGGCGGGGGCUAGCGUUGUUCGGAAUUACUGGGCGUAAAGCGGGUGUAGGCGGAUCUUUAAGGCGGGGGUGAAAGCCCUGGGCUCAACCCAGGAAUUGCCUUCGAUACUGGAGAUCUCGAGUCUAGGAGAGGUGAGCGGAAUUCCGAGUGUAGAGGUGAAAUUCGUAGAUAUUCGGAGGAACACCAGAGGCGAAGGCGGCUCACUGGACUAGUACUGACGCUGAGACCCGAAAGCGUGGGGAGCAA
rnacentral:rRNA from 1 species